AGCGUACACGGUGGAUGCCCUGGCAGUCAGAGGCGAUGAAGGACGUGCUAAUCUGCGAAAAGCGUCGGUAAGGUGAUAUGAACCGUUAUAGCCGGCGAUGUCCGAAUGGGGAAACCCAGUGCAAUUCGUUGCACUAUCGUUAACUGAAUACAUAGGUUAACGAGGCGAACCGGGGGAACUGAAACAUCUAAGUACCCCGAGGAAAAGAAAUCAACCGAGAUUCCCCCAGUAGCGGCGAGCGAACGGGGAGCAGCCCGGAGUCUGAAUCAGCUUGUGUGUUAGUGGAAGCGUCUGGAAAGUCGCAGGGUACAGGGUGAUACUCCCGUACACUAAAACACACAGGCUGUGAACUCGAAGAGUAGGGCGGGACACGUGGUAUCCUGUCUGAAUAUGGGGGGACCAUCCUCCAAGGCUAAAUACUCCUGACUGACCGAUAGUGAACCAGUACCGUGAGGGAAAGGCGAAAAGAACCCCGGCGAGGGGAGUGAAAAAGAACCUGAAACCGUGUACGUACAAGCAGUAGGAGCCCCACCACCAAAGCGUUUCGCUUUGCGUGGUGCGCAAAAUGCGUAACGACAGCAUGAUGGACGGUUAACGGAGCGUCAGCGACGUUCAACCUCAAAAAUCAGGCAGUGGAGCGUUUUGGGGUGGGGUGACUGCGUACCUUUUGUAUAAUGGGUCAGCGACUUAUAUUCUGUAGCAAGGUUAACCGAAUAGGGGAGCCGCAGGGAAACCGAGUCUUAACUGGGCGUUAAGUUGCAGGGUAUAGACCCGAAACCCGGUGAUCUAGCCAUGGGCAGGUUGAAGGUUGGGUAACACUAACUGGAGGACCGAACCGACUAAUGUUGAAAAAUUAGCGGAUGACUUGUGGCUGGGGGUGAAAGGCCAAUCAAACCGGGAGAUAGCUGGUUCUCCCCGAAAGCUAUUUAGGUAGCGCCUCGUGAACUCAUCUUCGGGGGUAGAGCACUGUUUCGGCUAGGGGGUCAUCCCGACUUACCAACCCGAUGCAAACUACGAAUACCGAAGAAUGUUAUCACGGGAGACACACGGCGGGUGCUAACGUCCGUCGUGAAGAGGGAAACAACCCAGACCGCCAGCUAAGGUCCCAAAGUCAUGGUUAAGUGGGAAACGAUGUGGGAAGGCCCAGACAGCCAGGAUGUUGGCUUAGAAGCAGCCAUCAUUUAAAGAAAGCGUAAUAGCUCACUGGUCGAGUCGGCCUGCGCGGAAGAUGUAACGGGGCUAAACCAUGCACCGAAGCUGCGGCAGCGACACUAUGUGUUGUUGGGUAGGGGAGCGUUCUGUAAGCCGUUGAAGGUGGCCUGUGAGGGUUGCUGGAGGUAUCAGAAGUGCGAAUGCUGACAUAAGUAACGAUAAUGCGGGUGAAAAACCCGCACGCCGGAAGACCAAGGGUUCCUGUCCAACGUUAAUCGGGGCAGGGUGAGUCGACCCCUAAGGCGAGGCCGAAAGGCGUAGUCGAUGGGAAACAGGUUAAUAUUCCUGUACUUGGUGUUACUGCGAAGGGGGGACGGAGAAGGCUAUGUUGGCCGGGCGACGGUUGUCCCGGUUUAAGCAUGUAGGCGGAUGUUCCAGGUAAAUCCGGAACGUUAUUAACGCUGAGGUGUGAUGACGAGGCACUACGGUGCUGAAGUGACAAAUGCCCUGCUUCCAGGAAAAGCCUCUAAGCAUCAGGUAACAUCAAAUCGUACCCCAAACCGACACAGGUGGUCAGGUAGAGAAUACCAAGGCGCUUGAGAGAACUCGGGUGAAGGAACUAGGCAAAAUGGUGCCGUAACUUCGGGAGAAGGCACGCUGAUGGUAGGUGAAGCGACUUGCUCGUGGAGCUGAAAUCAGUCGAAGAUACCAGCUGGCUGCAACUGUUUAUUAAAAACACAGCACUGUGCAAACACGAAAGUGGACGUAUACGGUGUGACGCCUGCCCGGUGCCGGAAGGUUAAUUGAUGGGGUUAUCCUCACGGAGAAGCUCUUGAUCGAAGCCCCGGUAAACGGCGGCCGUAACUAUAACGGUCCUAAGGUAGCGAAAUUCCUUGUCGGGUAAGUUCCGACCUGCACGAAUGGCGUAAUGAUGGCCAGGCUGUCUCCACCCGAGACUCAGUGAAAUUGAACUCGCUGUGAAGAUGCAGUGUACCCGCGGCAAGACGGAAAGACCCCGUGAACCUUUACUAUAGCUUGACACUGAACACUGGUCCUUGAUGUGUAGGAUAGGUGGGAGGCUUUGAAGUGUGGACGCCAGUCUGCAUGGAGCCGUCCUUGAAAUACCACCCUUUAAUGGCUGGUGUUCUAACGUGGGCCCGUAAUCCGGGUUGCGGACAGUGUCUGGUGGGUAGUUUGACUGGGGCGGUCUCCUCCUAAAGAGUAACGGAGGAGCACGAAGGUCAGCUAAUCCUGGUCGGACAUCAGGAGGUUAGUGCAAUGGCAUAAGCUGGCUUGACUGCGAGCGUGACGGCGCGAGCAGGUGCGAAAGCAGGUCAUAGUGAUCCGGUGGUUCUGAAUGGAAGGGCCAUCGCUCAACGGAUAAAAGGUACUCCGGGGAUAACAGGCUGAUACCGCCCAAGAGUUCAUAUCGACGGCGGUGUUUGGCACCUCGAUGUCGGCUCAUCACAUCCUGGGGCUGAAGUAGGUCCCAAGGGUAUGGCUGUUCGCCAUUUAAAGUGGUACGCGAGCUGGGUUUAGAACGUCGUGAGACAGUUCGGUCCCUAUCUGCCGUGGGCGCUGGAGAAUUGAGGGGGGCUGCUCCUAGUACGAGAGGACCGGAGUGGACGCAUCACUGGUGUUCGGGUUGUCAUGCCAAUGGCAUUGCCCGGUAGCUAAAUGCGGAAGAGAUAAGUGCUGAAAGCAUCUAAGCACGAAACUUGCCCCGAGAUGAGUUCUCCCUGACUCCUUGA
rnacentral:rRNA from 1 species